UACGGGAGGGUGCAAGCGUUAUCCGGAUUCACUGGGUUUAAAGGGUGCGUAGGUGGGUUGAUAAGUCAGUGGUGAAAUCCCCGAGCUUAACUUGGGAACUGCCAUUGAUACUAUUGAUCUUGAAUACCGUGGAGGUCAGCGGAAUAUGUCAUGUAGCGGUGAAAUGCUUAGAUAUGACAUAGAACACCAAUUGCGAAGGCAGCUGGCUACGCGAAUAUUGACACUGAUGCACGAAAGCGUGGGGAUCGAAACAAGGAGU
rnacentral:rRNA from 1 species